rnacentral:rRNA from 1 species
AGGGGCAGCAUGAACUUAGCUUGCUAAGUUUGAUGGCGACCGGCGCACGGGUGAGUAACACGUAUCCAACCUGCCGAUGACUCGGGGAUAGCCUUUCGAAAGAAAGAUUAAUACCUGAUAGUAUGGUGAGAUUGCAUGAUAACACCAUUAAAGAUUUAUUGGUAAACGAUGGGGAUGCGUUCCAUUAGGUAGUAGGCGGGGUAACGGCCCACCAAGGCGACGAUGGGUAGGGGUUCUGAGAGGAAGGUCCCCACAUUGGAACUGAGACACGGUCCAAACUCC